AGAGAUUUAUUACACACACACACACACACACACACACACACACACACACAGAGUAGCGGUCUUCAGACACACCAGAAGAGGGCAUCAGAUCUCAUCACAGAUGGUUGUGAGCCACCAUGUGGUUUCUGGGAUUUGAACUCAGGACCUCUGCAAGAGCAGUCAGCGCUCUUAACCACUGAGCCAUCUCUCCAGCCCCCCUGACCCUUUUCUUAAUUCUGUGGGUGUUGGUGCUAAGAUGGGGCUAAUCUUCCAGUUUAUUAUCUCUUUUUCUGUGUGAGAAAACAAAGCCCUGACCUCCCCGGUGCUGACUAUUUGCCUCCUCCGUCCCAGAUGGAUUACCGGGCCUUGGUGCACGAGCGAGAUGAAGCAGCCUAUGGGGCGCUUAGGGCCAUGGUGCUGGACCUGAGAGCCUUCUAUGCUGAGCUUCAUCACAUCAUCAGCAGCAACCUAGAGAAAAUUGUCAACCCAAAGGGUGAAGAAAAGCCAUCUAUGUACUGAGCAAAGGAUUAGAAGGAAAAUAAAUGAUUUAUACUUUAUGU
rnacentral:lncRNA from 1 species